GUGUCUGCAGGGAGGAGAUUCAUACGUACAUUGGUGGUUAUUGCCAACAAGACCAGUCUGCAUGGCAGGGUUACUCCAACAGGGAAAGUCCAAGAUACAACAGAUAAGAUGUCCCUGCAACCAUCCAAACAGAUGAGGAAAGAGCUGAAGCAACCCCUGCAGACAAGAGAAGAGAUGGACAUAGAGCUUCAGUGGAAGGUGGCAAUUCCUGAAGGAAGCACUCCAUCUUCGGUGCGAGCCCCAGCUGCAGGAAGGAAGGCAAAGCCAGACACGGGCACAGGCACAG